CUUCUGGAUAGGUGACCACAUCAAGGUGCUAGGAGGGAGCAUCACACCCCCUCCCCCAUCGACCAAGACUUGCCCAUGAAUCUCUUCUGCAUGUCUGUUCCUGAGUUACUCACAAACCAGUCAGCAUGCACUUUACAUUCUAGAGUCCAUAAAAGGCCAGGACCCAGACGCACGGGGGUCUUUCACACCUUCAGGAAAGGAAAAUUGUGAUGGGUCAUCAUCUUGUCUACGCGAUUUCACUUGCAAAAUUCCCUUAGUGCAUAAAUUACUUCAAUUUCAAAUGAGACAACAUGAAUACCACAUUACAACCUGCACAGAGAUCUGUCUGGCCACUCUUAGCAGUCUGCUCCAGCUCUGAAAUUCACUUUACUAUGAGGACAGCUUUAUCCCACAAAGCGCAGGGUUCAGAAUUUGUCUUAAGUGUACACCUCUGUGUGUUUAUGUACAUGAUAAAAUGUGUGCUUCUUCAGAGAUCAGCUUUUGGGAAUCUACAAGAUUCAGGAUCAGUUCAGAAGUUGGAAUUAGUUGGAAAGAGCAAAAGACGAUCUUUGGCAGAUAACACUUGAGCACAAUACUGCCAAGCAUCGAAGAACUGAUAACUACACUUGAUGGACAGCUUUUGCUCAGGUCACUGUGCAGAAGAAGCAAAGUGUAUAAAUUCACUGGUUAGGAUUCUCACCGAAGAGCUACCUGUUGAUGGCCAAUAAAACAGAGAACAAAACAGAAAACA
rnacentral:lncRNA from 13 species